rnacentral:rRNA from 1 species
UACAGAGGGUGCGAGCGUUAAUCGGAAUUACUGGGCGUAAAGGGCGCGUAGGUGGUUGCGUAAGAUUGAUGUGAAAUCCCUGGGCUUAACCUAGGAACUGCAUCGAUGACUGUGCAGCUGGAGUACUGUAGAGGGUAGUGGAAUUUCCGGUGUAGCGGUGAAAUGCGUAGAGAUCGGAAGGAACACCAGUGGCGAAGGCGACUACCUGGACAGAUACUGACACUGAGGCGCGAGAGCGUGGGGAGCAAACAGG